rnacentral:rRNA from 1 species
UUAUUUGAAACAGGAUACAACCUCACACACCGGGUAAGCAAAAGAACAGCAAAACCAAGUGGGCCUAAAAGCAGCCACCUUUAAGAAAGCGUUACAGCUCCACCACCCCCCAACCAAAAAUCAUUCCAACACUUUCUAACCCUUAACCUCUACUGAACCAUUUUAUAUUACUAUAAAAACUAUUAUGCUAGGACUAGUAACAAGAAUUUGCUUUUCUCCUUAAUAUAAACAUAAGCCAAAACGGACCAUCCAUUGGCAAUUAACGUUAAUGAACUAACUAUAAUAACAACCUUACUAGAAAACCCUAUAUUUUGUAACGUUAACCUUACACCAGAAUAUUUAAGGAAAGAUUAAAAGAAAAAGAAGGAACUCGGCAAACUUCAACCCCGCCUGUUUACCAAAAACAUCGCCUCUUGAUAAACAUAAGAGGUCCAGCCUGCCCAGUGACAAUGUUCAACGGCCGCGGUACCCUAACCGUGCAAAGGUAGCAUAAUCACUUGUUCUUUAAAUGAGGACUUGUAUCAAUGGCAUCACGAGGGUUGUACUGUCUCCUUUUUCCAAUCAGUGAAACUGAUCUCCCCGUGAAGAAGCUGGGAUUUUAAU